UUCCAGGGAAGGGAAUCGAACCCACAGUGUUCCGCUUACCGGGCAGAUGCCAUGUCCACUAGGCUACCCUGGA
rnacentral:tRNA from 1 species